ACGAACGCUGGCGGUGUGCCUCAAACAUGCAAGUCGAGGGAGGGUUGGCGUCUGGCUUGCCAGACGUUUCAACUCUACCGGCGAACGGGUGAGUAACACGUGGGCAAUCUGCCCUGAAGACGGGGACAACCUCGGGAAACCGGGGCUAAUACCCGAUACCCUCCCAGGGGGGCAUCCUCUGGGGAGGAAAGGUCCGCAAGGUCUGCUUCAGGAGGAGCCCCGCGGCCUAUCAGCUAGUUGGUGGGGUAACGGCCUACCCAAGGCGAUGACGGGUAGCUG
rnacentral:rRNA from 1 species